ACUAUUUCAAAACCUAAAUUGGGAAAUCAAAAUUUGUUAACAGAGUAUUUUGGCAAAAAUGUCAAAACAACUUUCAAAGUUAAAUGCGCCAAAAAAUGUAAACAUGGUCGACUCAAUUGAAGAACUAAAAAGCAAUUUGAAGUAGAAACUUUUCACAUAAAUAAAAUUUAAAAUCAAAAUUAUUCAAGAAUUCUAAAUCACUAUUCGAAGCCUUCUUUUCUUGGCAUGCAAUAUGCGGAAAAGAAAAAGAGACAAGUCUCUUAUACUGGAGAGGAUAUUAUCAAAUGUAAUAUUGAUAGAAUGACAAAUGUCAAAUUAUUUAAGUCAUUGAAAAUAUUUCCAUCUUUUUGUGACUUAUUGAUGCAAAGAUAUUCCAGAUGACAUUGCCUUCAACAAUAUUAUUAUUGGUCUUUCAAGACAAAUAAAGGCUAGUAGAGUAAUUAUCUCAAUCUGAAGAAAGAAAAAAAGAAGUUUAUAAUGCUAGAAAAUCUAAUCGUCAUAAUGACAACAUAAAUACUUUCUUAAAAGUUGUUACUAAACACUUCCUUGUUAACCCAAUCUUUCAUCAUGAAAGAUCAUCGGAAGUUUUGAUGAACCUUACAUGUCCAAAAGCUUUAUGAUUUUUGUUCGAUAUUAAAGUGCAAAUCGCAAGUGUAUGGGUCACGUUCAAGCAAUUAAUUGGACUUUUUUAGUCCAAAUUAUCAAUCACUCGAUAAAUAUUUAUUUUAGAUCAUAUAACUUUAAUCAAUUUAAUUUUAACAAUAAAAACGAAUACACAAUAAAAUUAUGACGUUGGAAAAUAUGGAAAAUAACAAAAAUUCUACAAAAUAAGAAAACAAAACACUUGGAAAUUUUUUAGGAAAAUGUGGUUGGGAUUCAUGAUUUCGUCUAACCAUCACAUAAUUAACUUUUCAACAAGCCGAUUAAAAAAUUACCCAUUUACGAUAUGGAAAAUGCUAUUGGUACCUUUUGGGUUACACGCUGAGCUGGAGGUGUAAUUAAAAAAAAUGAAACAAUUGAUAAAUUGGGUCGGGUCAUUAAAUUCGAAAAUGGCGGAGACAAAGCGGGUCGAUAA
rnacentral:lncRNA from 1 species